rnacentral:rRNA from 1 species
GACGAACGCUGGCGGCGUGCUUAACACAUGCAAGUCGAGCGGUAAGGCUCCUUCGGGGGUACACGAGCGGCGAACGGGUGAGUAACACGUGAGUAAUCUGCCCUUCACUUCGGGAUAAGCUUCGGAAACGGGGUCUAAUACCGGAUAUGACAGCCAUCUGCAUGGAUUGGUUGUGGAAACUUUUGUGGGUGGGGGAUGUGCUCGCGGCCUAUCAGCUUGUUGGUGGGGUAAUGGCCUACCAAGGCUUUGACGGGUAGCCGGCCUGAGAGGGUGACCGGCCACACUGGGACUGAGACACGGCCCAGACUCCUACGGGAGGCAGCAGUGGGGAAUAUUGGACAAUGGGCGGAAGCCUGAUCCAGCAACGCCGCGUGAGGGAUGACGGCCUUCGGGUUGUAAACCUCUUUCGUCAUCGACGAAGCCUCAUGUUGAUUGGGGUGACGGUAGGUGGGGAAGAAGCACCGGCCAACUACGUGCCAGCAGCCGCCGUAACAC